GACGAACGCUGGCGGCGUGCUUAACACAUGCAAGUCGAACGGAAAGGCCCUGCUUUUGUGGGGUGCUCGAGUGGCGAACGGGUGAGUAACACGUGAGUAACCUGCCCUGGACUUUGGGAUAACUUCAGGAAACUGGGGCUAAUACCGGAUAGGAGCUCCUGCUGCAUGGUGGGGGUUGGAAAGUUUCGGCGGUUGGGGAUGGACUCGCGGCUUAUCAGCUUGUUGGUGGGGGAGUGGCUUACCAAGGCUUUGACGGGUAGCCGGCCUGAGAGGGUGACCGGCCACAUUGGGACUGAGAUACGGCCCAGACUCCUACGGGAGGCAGCAGUGGGGAAUAUUGCACAAUGGGCGGAAGCCUGAUGCAGCAACGCCGCGUGCGGGAUGACGGCCUUCUGGUUGUAAACCGCUUUCGCCUGUGACGAAGCGUGAGUGACGGUAAUGGGUAAAGAAGCACCGGCUAACUACGUG
rnacentral:rRNA from 1 species